rnacentral:rRNA from 1 species
AUGGGCAAAUCCAAAGGUGCGGAAAUUUCCCCCUUCUGCAGGCACACUGUUGCUUCUCGAUUGAAUUUGUUCGAAUUUGGGAGGCGAAAGUCAAUAAUUUGCUGCUUUGUAGACAAGAAGGCUUCGCGGGAUUCCAAGGUUGAUAAGAAGCUGGCGCUUGGGCUUGGAGUGAAGAGGAAGCAGCUCAAGAAGAAGAAGGACAGAGUUUUAGAUGCCGCCGUGGAGAGCGAGGGCGCUGCCGGACAUGCUAUCGCGGAAGGAAGCAAGAAGAUUGUAUUGGUGAAGCAAAAGAAGAAAAUUAAGCAUGCCAAAGUAACAAGCUGUUGUACCAAGGCUCAUAAUUUGGUGACUCUCAAUGAGGAUGAGGGAACACCUAAACUCAAGAAGAAGAAGAGCAAGAAGCAGCUAAAGGAAAGCAAAAGUCCUGUUGAGGUACAGAGUCCAUUGGACAGUAAUGAUGCUGGAACACUUAAGCUGAAGAAGAAGAAAAGGAAGGUGAAGGAAGGGAAGAGCUCUGUUGAGCCCAAUGAUGCAGAUGAUAUCCUUCAUGAAAAUCUCGAUGAAGAAACUCUAAACGCUGAUGUCAACCAACUUCUAGCAGAGAGUGAAGUUAUGGAUAUUGGGGAACCAGAAAAGGCAAAGAAACGAAAGAAAAAAAAGACAGCUGAUGUCAACCAAGUUGCAGCAGAGAGUGGAGUUAUGGACAUUGGGGAACCAGAAAAGGCAAAGAAACGAAAGAAAAAUAAGACAAAGAAAGUAAAGCAAUCUGGGGAAGUCAACGGGAUAGAUCUGCAGGUAUCAGUUAGAGAGGACAAUUUGGAGGUGCAUGAAGUUGAUACCGCAAAUGUUGAUGAGAUUGCAUCAGUCGAUGAAGACUGUUCCAGAGGAAUGAAAAAAUGGAUCUUGGAGUACAGACAGAAGCGACCAGGCUUGAAAGUCUUGCAGCAAAAUAUAGAUGUGUUUAUAACUGCACAUGAGGAACAACAAGAGCGGGAGAAGAAGGAAAGAGAGGCAGCAGCUGCAGAAGAUGGGUGGACAGUGGUGAUGCAUCAUAAGGGUCGGAAGAAGACUACAGAUGCUGAAACUGGAACAGCGGUUGGCUCUGUAUCUCUGGCUGCAAUGCAAGAGAAAAUGGCUCAGAAGAAACCCAAGGAAGUUGGUCGGAACUUCUACAGACAUCAGAAACGAGAAGCUCAAAUGAGUGAGCUGGCGAUGCUGCAGAGCAAGUUCGAGCAGGACAAGAAGAGGAUACAGCAGCUGCGGGCUCAAAGGAAAUUCAAGCCUUACGGAUUUUGA